AAGCAGCCCCACUUUCCCAGUGUCUCAGGCUGAGGGACUCCCAGCUGGUCCAGGGAAUUCAUUCUCCAACUUCACUGGGAGGCAGCCAGGCCAAGGUUCACACCUCUGGGAAGACCCUCCACACCAGCACAAGGGGGUCUCGACCCACAGGAUGAUAACCACUGCUCCAGGAGGAGGCGUGAGGCACGGGCUGCUCUGAUGGAUGACACACCUGCAUCUUGUCCCAGUUCCAUCCAGAAGGCCUUCUUCGUGGUGACCUGGAACUGCUCAGGAUGUUUUGAAAGACACUUGGCCUUUCCUUAGCCCUUACAGUAGCCCAGGGAGGAAUGCAUGCCCCUCCUUGCUCCCGCACGUAUGGAAGCCAGUCUUGAGCUCAGAUGUCACUGAACCAGGCCAGUCUCCCUCUCAAAGCUACAGAGACCUACUCCCCCACUUUGUGUCAUGGCUCAGCAGGUACAGGUUUCCUCUCAAGCCUGACAGCCGGAGCUCAAUCCCCAACACCUACACAGGAGAACUGACUUCCUCAUGUACACCAAGGCAGCGCCCGCCCCAGUGGACUGCAGCCACACCCCAGGCUGACAUGUGCACUCGCAGUCAACCUUGGAAACUUUCAACCUACCCCAGAAGGCUCAGGGAACAUCUCAGAAGAGGAAGUAGAAAGAAUGUGAGAGCUGGCCUCUGGAUAGAGCAGGACUGUUCCACCCACGAACUCACAGCAGCCGUGCCCACUGUACAGACCCACACAAGAUCAAGAAUUUUAAGAUUCCCAACAUGGAGUAAGAAGGGUUCCAAUGGCCAACCCCUAUCAGAGGAGCCAGUGGCAGUUGAUGGCUUCUGGGGUCAUGUCACUUUUCUUUGGUGAGUGAGCAUUGGUAGGGUCACCCAGGCCCCCGUGCAUGACCCCAUACACAUGUGCAUAUGGGCAGCACCAACCAAAUUUAGUGGUUUAAAAAAAAAAAGACAUGAAGGUAAGAAAUGGGAGAGAUGCUAUGGGGAAAACUGAACAGAGGAGGGAGAGAGUAUGACCAAGAUACAUGGUAUAAAUGUAUAUAUUAAACAUUUUUCCUUUUAAAAAGGAGCCCCAUGACUCUUAGUCAGACCUGUCCCUCCCUCCCUCCUUCCCUCCCCUGAGAGAACCAGCAGCUCAGUCUGUCUCCCAGGAUUCCCCUAUUCUGGACAUUUCUCAUCAAAGGAAGAAGGCAAGAGGAGGCCUUUGUGAGAGCUUCUGUGACUCAGCUUCGUGUCUUUCAGGGUCA